rfam:Dictyostelium discoideum AX4 chromosome 1, whole genome shotgun sequence.
UCCUUGUUGGUCUAGUGGUGAGGAUUUUCGCCUGUCACGCGAAAGGCCCGGGUUCAAUUCCCGGACAGGGAG